AGAGUUUGAUCCUGGCUCAGAUUGAACGCUGGCGGCAGGCUUAACACAUGCAAGUCGAGCGGGGAAAGGUAGCUUGCUACCUGACCUAGCGGCGGACGGGUGAGUAAUGCUUAGGAAUCUGCCUAUUAGUGGGGGACAACAUUCCGAAAGGAAUGCUAAUACCGCAUACGCCCUACGGGGGAAAGCAGGGGAUCUUCGGACCUUGCGCUAAUAGAUGAGCCUAAGUCAGAUUAGCUAGUUGGUGGGGUAAAGGCCUACCAAGGCGACGAUCUGUAGCGGGUCUGAGAGGAUGAUCCGCCACACUGGGACUGAGACACGGCCCAGACUCCUACGGGAGGCAGCAGUGGGGAAUAUUGGACAAUGGGCGAAAGCCUGAUCCAGCCAUGCCGCGUGUGUGAAGAAGGCCUUUUGGUUGUAAAGCACUUUAAGCGAGGAGGAGGCUACUGAGAUUAAUACUCUUGGAUAGUGGACGUUACUCGCAGAAUAAGCACCGGCUAACUCUGUGCCAGCAGCCGCGGUAAUACAGAGGGUGCGAGCGUUAAUCGGAUUUACUGGGCGUAAAGCGUGCGUAGGCGGCUUUUUAAGUCGGAUGUGAAAUCCCUGAGCUUAACUUAAGAAUUGCAUUCGAUACUGGGAAGCUAGAGUAUGGGAGAGGAUGGUAGAAUUCCAGGUGUAGCGGUGAAAUGCGUAGAGAUCUGGAGGAAUACCGAUGGCGAAGGCAGCCAUCUGGCCUAAUACUGACGCUGAGGUACGAAAGCAUGGGGAGCAAACAGGAUUAGAUACCCUGGUAGUCCAUGCCGUAAACGAUGUCUACUAGCCGUUGGGGCCUUUGAGGCUUUAGUGGCGCAGCU
rnacentral:rRNA from 1 species